UGUCCCAUGGCUUAGUUGGUCACGGCGUCCAACUGUUAUACCCAACUCUGAUCGAGAGUUCCAGUCUCUCUGGGACAG